CUGGAACCUUUUUUCACUCCUAUUGCAUAUCAGUUUAUACCUUGAACCUUGAACGAGUACGAUUGAGAAUUUGUUACUGUUAUGUAUCUAAAGUGUGAUUAUUUGAAGUGUUUGGUGGUUGUGCGUGCUUGUGGCGGUUCUCAAUGGAGUUACACUUCGUCAUCUUUAUCUAGUUCUUCAAGAAGGUCAAACGUGAUGCCAAUUUCAUUGGAAAAAUACAUACUUAUGAAUACCUACUACAAAUGAAUCAUUCACAGAAUUGAAAAUUCCAUAGGAUCAUAACGAUCUCUAUAGAAAUGGAUGUGCCCAAGAAUUCCUCAAGAAAAUGUCUAAUUUAAGAAUAUGGAGGAGCUCGUCAGUACAACAAGAGUUGAAUCUGUGAAAAUGAAGAAAAAUGAUAUCACGUUUUUUGAUGGGGUAUACCAUAGUUAUUGUGCAGAUGGAGACGAUGUUUAGAAUGGUACACUGACAUUUGAAGAUAGGUGAAAAAAGAAUCUAUAGAGGAUGUUCUUAUGUGCGAAUUUUGGCUCAAAAUAAAUGUGGUUGAUAGAUAAGAAGAUUUGGAGAAAAGUUGGAGGAGAAAAAAAGUUAAACUAAGUGUUGGAAACUCGAUUAUGACGUGGAAAAAUACUUACUUUUAUUUUUUUUAAUGAGCAGCUUCGUGUUUUAACCUUUUUAAGUUCAUUUUUAUUUGCUUUAGCAGAAUUAUCAUGUAACUUAAUCUUGGUCUUACGAGUUGUGAACGAAUAAAUUCCGUUUUA